rnacentral:lncRNA from 1 species
UGCCUACUGGUAUCCAUGAAGCUCCAUAGGGAUGUCUCAACUACGCGUGAACCCUUUUUCAAUAUUUUCAACUAACGGACCGUCUCCAUACCCCGUUUGGUAUGAGUGCAAAGAAAUAUCAUCCAUCAAUACCCCGUCCGGUAUGAGGGUGAAACGGGUUAUCCCCAUACCCCUUCCGAUAUGAGUACCAAAUUACUAAUCCUCGAUAUCCCAUCCGGUAUAAGCGCCAAAUUACCAAUCCUCGAUACCCUGUUCGGUAUGAGAAAAUAUUCACGGUAGAGUUCUCUAUGUACCCGAUCCGUCCACCAUCUUCUAAGAUAUCCAGUAAGGCUGUCAUUCAUCCAUUCACUUAAUUAAACAAUUUCUCACUUACCU